GGCUCAACCAUCAUAGCUGGAUGAGGAGACAAUCUGGGUUGUGAACAGAAGAGGUGCAAACAUAGUGGUGUGAAGUUGGAGUGACUGUGAAUGUUGGGUUUUGGAUGCUCCGUUGCCUUGGUGUCCCGCUGCUUCAUUAACUCUGUAUAAUGUGGAGAAGUGUUUUGUAGGCUGACCCAUGUUGCUGCAUAAUUUGACACACACACACACACACACACACACACACACAGUUUGGUGGAAAGAGACAACAGGUGGUUAAAGCUGUAUGAGUCAUAACAUAUAUAACCAUCAUCUAAACUGUGUUUGAACACUAAUCAUCAUGCAUUUACGAAUGUUCUUCUGUGUGUCUGUGUGUGUUUGUGUAUGUGUGCCUGCACAUAAUCACCACCCUAAGUGUGUUUGCCCUUACUAAUGAUCACACACUCAUAUACAGAGAGAACUUCACAAAGAUUACAGGUACAGUAAACAGAGCUUCAUCUAAUGACCCUACAGUGGGCUAGACAUCUGGACAAUACAUGUUUGUAUGUGUGUGUGUGUGUGUGUGUGUGUGUGUGUGUGUGUGUGUGUGUGUGUGACUGCGUGUGUAUAUACUAUAUGUGUGUGCGUUUGACUGUGUCUGUACUGCAGCGUCAAGACAGAGUUUCUUUUUCCAAGUGUACUGAGAUUCUUUUUAAAAGCACUUUAAACAAAAAUGUAUUUGUGAUUCAACUGAUGGUUGAAUUGAAUGUUACGUGAAUGUUUUUUAAUAGAAGUAUGUGUGUUGUUGGUCCAGAAAAUGAUUGUUUAGAAUGGUCUUUGGUUUCCAGUGCAAACGCAGUAACCCAGCUUGAUAGAGAUGUCAUGAAUUGAUUCAUAGUCCUGAGCCGACGGCCAAUCAUUGGACAGUACAACCUGUAAACACCACCUUCUCUACUGAUUCUCGACGUUCUAUAUUAAAAACUUUUAUCUUCCUCUUUUUUUGUCUCAUCUUCUGUUAUUUGAUCGGCGUAGAACAGCCUUGAGCAGAUGUAGCCUGUGAACUAAACAUUCCUUUCAGAUAUCAUCAUUAUUUUCUAUUAUACAAUCCCUAUUGAUUUUUAAAAACUGAAUUGCUUUGUGAAGUGUUUGAAUACAAGUGUCCAACCUG
ensembl:lncRNA